GCCCGGCCGGAGCGAGCUACAGUCCCCCGCAGGGGACGCGCAGGGGAGAGCCAGCACCUCUGGCCCGGGAAUCCCCAUCUUCAGCGCUGCGCCGAGGGGAAGUUUUCAGAAACUCCUAAACACGCUUUUCCUUUAUUUUUUUCCGCCCUCUUUCCAGGAAACCAUAAAAAAUAUACAGACUAUAAAAGAAGCUUUAAUUCAGAACGAGCCCAGGGGUGAAUGCAGUUGGUGGAUGGAAGCAUCCAACGCGAUGUAAACUGCGCAGAAACCCGAAGGAAGCGCACACGCGGUGUAAGGAAAAUUUCCCACGUGUGCUUUGGACAUAUAUCAUGCGGGUAGAAAAUGUCACCCCGGGGCUCGGGUGCCUGAAAAAUCCGCGGACGACGCUGGUUUUGCUGAAGGAGCUGUGUUUUGUUUCAUGCCGUGUGGCUUCCACAGGGCACAUCCCUGCGCGUUUCGGUGCUGGGGAGCGCGCAUCAGCAGGGAGAGAUCCGGCGGAGCUCUGCGCGACUAAGCGGACAUUACGCAUCCCUCCCGAGACGCCACUGCCAGCAAUUGCGUGCUUCGAGUCCUCGAGAAAAUUACGAGAUUUGAAAUGAAAUACAUAUUGAUGAGUAUAAGUGAAUGAUACUUUAAUGUGCUAACACUGAGUCGCUAUACUUUAAGAGCUUGGAUAAAUAUUCGAGUUAUUUCGCGUCCUUACUUGCAGCCUCCUUCUGCCCCAUGUGGGGAUGGGGAAAUUGAGUGGUCGGUGUUGGUCGGGAGGUGAAUCCCCAAAAUGCCCUCUGCUCUUUGCAAGCCCGAACUUCGCCAAACGAUGGGUGAAGCGAACGCAAAAAAAUGAAGCUCUCGCUGAGAAAAGGAGAAGAGAAGCGGCAGAGCUCACUUUUCUCCGGGCUCGAUCCAGCAUUGGGGUCCGCAGCUGCCCGAAAGUAACGCCGACCCUCACCGAUACCCGGCAAAAGCCGUCGUGAAAUGGAGCGCGAACGUCCUCGGGAUCGGGAGCUUCGGGAGUGCGUUACACGGGGGUCACGCCGAGAACGAAAGCUCUGCGUGAGAAACUAAAAGCACUCCGGUGGUAACAGAGAGUGCCGAAAUGACUUAGUUGAAAAUACCAGCCAGCAGUAAACUCACUCCGGAGGAAAGCUGAAGGAAGUUUACGGCUACAGCCCCUGCUCGAGUGGGAGCUCCGCCGGCUUCGGGCGGCCCCAGACGCUGCUGUCAGAGGGGAUUCCAUUUGGGAACCGGCAAGAAAAGGCACUUUCCUGCCCAAAUCCCCCCUCCGGAGCCGCGCUGCUCGCUGCAGGGCAGCAGUGAUGGGAAACGCGAGUUGCAGACAGGAUUUGGAGAGGGCAGUGAGGAGAGUAAGGUGGGCGCGGGGCUGCCCAUGUACUACCCAGGUGCAGAGAAGGGCUGCAAGGUGAAUUUCGGUUUGGGAUCUACCAAAAAGAAUAAGCAUCAGGUGCAACACAUCUCCUUGCACGCCGCUCACACACACAAAAUAAACAGAGGUGACGUUCCCAGGGAUGCCCCCAGUUCCGGCACAGGAAUGAAGCAGCCGGCGGUGGU
ensembl:lncRNA